GCGCAGGUGGCAGGUCUACACAUGCAAGUCGAGCGGUAACAGAGAGGAAGCUUGCUUUCUUUGCUGACGAGCGGCGGACGGGUGAGUAAUGCCUAGGGAUCUGCCCAGUCGAGGGGGAUAACAGUUGGAAACGACUGCUAAUACCGCAUACGCCCUACGGGGGAAAGGAGGGGACCUUCGGGCCUUUCGCGAUUGGAUGAACCUAGGUGGGAUUAGCUAGUUGGUGAGGUAAUGGCUCACCAAGGCGACGAUCCCUAGCUGUUCUGAGAGGAUGAUCAGCCACACUGGGACUGAGACACGGCCCAGACUCCUACGGGAGGCAGCAGUGGGGAAUAUUGCACAAUGGGGGAAACCCUGAUGCAGCCAUGCCGCGUGUGUGAAGAAGGCCUUCGGGUUGUAAAGCACUUUCAGUAGGGAGGAAAGGUAGCGUGUUAAUAGCACGCUGCUGUGACGUUACCUACAGAAGAAGGACCGGCUAACUUCGUGCCAGCAGCCGCGGUAAUACGAGGGGUCCGAGCGUUAAUCGGAAUUACUGGGCGUAAAGCGUACGCAGGCGGUUCAUUAAGCUAGAUGUGAAAUCCCCGGGCUCAACCUGGGAAUUGCAUUUAGAACUGGUGAACUAGAGUCUUGUAGAGGGGGGUAGAAUUUCAGGUGUAGCGGUGAAAUGCGUAGAGAUCUGAAGGAAUACCGGUGGCGAAGGCGGCCCCCUGGACAAAGACUGACGCUCAUGUACGAAAGCGUGGGGAGCAAACAGGAUUAGAUACCCUGGUAGUCCACGCCGUAAACGAUGUCUACUCGGAGUUUGGUGACUUAGUCACUGGGCUCCCAAGCUAACGCAUUAAGUACACCGCCUGGAGAGUACGGCCCGCAGGGUUAAAACUCAAAUGAAUUGACGGGGGCCCGCACAAGGCGGUGGAGCAUGUGGUUUAAUUCGAUGCAACGCUGAAGAACCUUACCUACUCUGACAUCCACAGAAGCGGAAGAGAUUCUGGUGUGCCUUCGGUGAACUGGUAAGACACGUGCUGCAUGACUGUCGUCAGUUCGUUCUUUGAAAUGUGGAGGUAAGUUCAGCAACGAGCGCCACCCUAUCCCUACUGGCGAGCCGUAUGGUGGGACUCUAGUAGACGAACGUUACACGGGCGAUGGAGACGUCUAGGCCAUGGCCGUCGAGAGUGCUAACGUGCAAUGCUAGGGAGGGUCAAGCCAAAGCUAGACCUAUUA
rnacentral:rRNA from 1 species